rnacentral:rRNA from 1 species
GAUUAACGCUGGCGGCGUGCAUAACACAUGCAAGUCGAACGAUGAAACUUUUAUGAAUUCUUCGGAAUGAUUAAAAGUGGAUUAGUGGCGGACGGGUGAGUAACGCGUGAGUAACCUGCCUUAGAGAAGGGGAUAGCCGUUGGAAACGACGAAUAAUACCCUAUGAAAUAAACACCUCGCAUGAGGAGUUUAUCAAAGAUUUAUCGCUCUAAGAUGGACUCGCGUCUGAUUAGCUAGUUGGUGGGGCAAA